GUUGAACGCUGGCGGCAUGCCUAACACAUGCAAGUCGAACGGCAGCACGGGCUUCGGCCUGGUGGCGAGUGGCGGACGGGUGAGGAAUACAUAGGAAUCUACCCAGUCGUGGGGGAUAACGUAGGGAAAGCUUACGCUAAUACCGCAUACGACGGUGACGUGAAAGCGGGGGACCGCAAGGCCUCACGCGAUUGGAUGAGCCUAUGUCCGAUUAGCUAGUUGGCGGGGUAAGAGCCCACCAAGGCGACGAUCGGUAGCUGGUCUGAGAGGAUGAUCAGCCACACUGGAACUGAGACACGGUCCAGACUCCUACGGGAGGCAGCAGUGGGGAAUAUUGACAAUGGGCGCAAGCCUGAUCCAGCAAUGCCGCGUGGGUGAAGAAGGCCUUCGGGUUGUAAGCCCUUUUCGUACGGGAAGAAAAGCUUCAGGUUAAUNCCCUGAGGUCAUGACGGUACCGUAAGAAUAAGCACCGGCUAACUUCGUGCCAGCAGCCGCGGUAAUACGAAGGGUGCAAGCGUUAAUCGGAAUUACUGGGCG
rnacentral:rRNA from 1 species